GACGAACGCUGGCGGCGUGCUUAACACAUGCAAGUCGUACGGUAAGGCCCUUUCGGGGGUCCACGAGUGGCGAACGGGUGCGUAACACGUGAGUAACCUGCCCACAACUUUGGGAUAACGCUAGGAAACUGGUGCUAAUACUGGAUAUGUUCUCCUGCUGCAUGGUGGGGGUUGGAAAGCUCCGGCGGUUGUGGAUGGACUCGCGGCCUAUCAGCUUGUUGGUGGGGUAGUGGCCUACCAAGGCGGCGACGGGUAGCCGGCCUGAGAGGGUGACCGGCCACAUUGGGACUGAGAGACGGCACAGACUCCGACGGGAGGCAGAAGUGGGGAAUAUUGCACAAUGGGCGCAAGCCUGAUGCAGCAACGCCGCGGGCGGGAUGACGGCCUUCGGGUUGUAAACCGCUUUCAGCAGGGACGAAGCUUUUUGUGACGGUACCUGCAGAAGAAGCACCGGCUAACUACGUG
rnacentral:rRNA from 1 species